AGGGAAAGGUGCCCGUAAAACGUCUUGUGCACAAGAGCCCUGUGUGAAAACGGGGCUGUUUUAAAGUUGUUUUGAGAGGUGCAUUAUCAAAGCCUGGACAUCCUGAAUUGGCUGCCAACUGCAACCUCGUUGAGUUUGAAGGCAGAACAGCGCUGAUGGGAAAGAAUCAGACACCUCGUUGAUCAAUGGGAACAGCCCAGGAGGAUUGAAAAAUUUCUCCAAGAGCCUCCAACAGUCAACAUUAACUGAUUUAUCUGAAGAACUACAACUCCAGAGAAAGAGACUGGUAACACCUGUUAUUAAGAGGGUCAAAAAACAAUUAACACACUGGGAAUGUACUAACCAUGGCUUAAAGUGUUGUCCAUAAAUUUGUGUUAUUUGUACCUGUUGUUUUAAUUUGUGGUGAAGAGUAACUAGAGUAAAAGAAAAAGAGAGACAAUUGGUUUGUUUAAGUUGUAUAUGUAAACAGCUAACUUUAAAAAGAUUUUUUAGUGAUUUUUGGAACACCAUUGAGACAAGUCAUGUGAAAACAAAUCUUGUUUUAGUUGGCAUAUCUCCGGAGCUUUAGUGGAUUAGGAAAAAUAGCUGAUCAAUCUAGGGAGAGAGAUAAGGCAGUGCUGCAGAACUACAAAUGCUUUGUGCCAUCUUUCGA